rnacentral:lncRNA from 1 species
ACACAGACAAGGAACCUCGAAGAUUGAAGCCUCAGCCCAAAUUUGAAUUGCUCUCCAACGGAAGAAAUCUUGAUGACGAUUUACGCCAACGGAUCUAUUCAAGAGUUCUCCUACAAAUAGCGCUCGAGGAUCACUUCAAUCUUCACCGAUUCAACGACAUAAGCUGAAGCUCUGUCGAAAUUGCUACUCAGCCUAAAGCUUAACCGCCC